CCCACCAAGCCUCUCAACGAUGCACAAAUGUGCGGGG
rnacentral:ncRNA from 1 species